GGGAACUGCAGCUAAUACCGCGUUAUUCUCUGAGGAGGAAAGGGUGGGACCUUAGGGCCACCUGCCAUAAGAUGAGCCCAAGUGGGAUUAGGUAGUUGGUGGGGUAAAGGCCUACCAAGCCUGCGAUCUCUAGCUGGUCUGAGAGGAUGACCAGCCACACUGGAACUGAGACACGGUCCAGACUCCUACGGGAGGCAGCAGUGGGGAAUAUUGCGCAAUGGGGGGAACCCUGACGCAGCCAUGCCGCGUGAAUGAAGAAGGCCUUCGGGUUGUAAAGUUCUUUCGGUAAUGAGGAAGGGAUGUUGUUAAAUAGAUAGCAUCAUUGACGUUAAUUACAGAAGAAGCACCGGCUAACUCCGUGCCAGCAGCCGCGGUAAUACGGAGGGUGCGAGCGUUAAUCGGAAUAACUGGGCGUAAAGGGCACGCAGGCGGACUUUUAAGUGAGAUGUGAAAUCCCCGAGCUUAACUUGGGAACUGCAUUUCAGACUGGGAGUCUAGAGUACUUUAGGGAGGGGUAGAAUUCCACGUGUAGCGGUGAAAUGCGUAGAGAUGUGGAGGAAUACCGAAGGCGAAGGCAGCCCCUUGGGAAUGUACUGACGCUCAUGUGCGAAAGCGUGGGGAGCAAACAGGAUUAGAUACCCUGGUAGUCCACGCUGUAAACGCUGUCGAUUUGGGGAUUGGGCUAUAUGCUUGGUGCCCGAAGCUAACGUGAUAAAUCGACCGCCUGGGGAGUACGGCCGCAAGGUUAAAACUCAAAUGAAUUUGACGGGGGCCCGCACAAGCGGGUGCAGCAUGUGAUU
rnacentral:rRNA from 1 species